UGGGGAAUAUUGCGCAAUGGGCGGAAGCCUGACGCAGCGACGCCGCGUGGGGGAUGACGGCCUUCGGGUUGUAAACCUCUUUCAGCAGGGACGAAGGUGACGUGUACCUGCAGAAGAAGCGCCGGCUAACUACGUGCCAGCAGCCGCGGUAAUACGUAGGGCGCAAGCGUUGUCCGGAAUUAUUGGGCGUAAAGAGCUCGUAGGUGGCUGGUCGCGUCGGGUGUGAAAGCCUGCGGCUUAACCGUGGGUCUGCAUCCGAUACGGGCCGGCUUGAGGUAGGCAGGGGCAAGUGGAAUUCCUGGUGUAGCGGUGAAAUGCGCAGAUAUCAGGAGGAACACCGGUGGCGAAGGCGGCUUGCUGGGCCUAUCCUGACGCUGAGGAGCGAAAGCGUGGGGAGCGAACAGG
rnacentral:rRNA from 1 species